rnacentral:rRNA from 1 species
UACGUACCGUCCAAACGUUAUUCGGUAUCACUGGGCUUAAAGCGUUCGUAGGCGGCCUAGAAGGUGUGAUGUGAAGGCCCACGGCUCAACCGUGGAACUGCGUCGCAAACCACUAGGCUUGAGGAAGACAGGGGUGAAGGGAACUUAUGGUGGAGCGGUGAAAUGCGUUGAUAUCAUAGGGAACACCGGUGGCGAAAGCGCUUCACUGGGUCUUUUCUGACGCUGAGGAACGAAAGCUAGGGUAGCGAACGGG